AAUCCAUGGUGUGGGCACUUCUAAAUUAACGUCAUAAAAUGCUUUCAUGCUUCGUGAAAGCUUUCCCUUUCUAACUGUUUGAACAUAAAAAUAUCCUUUCUUAAUU
rfam:Gossypium hirsutum cultivar TM-1 chromosome 24, whole genome shotgun sequence